rnacentral:lncRNA from 1 species
GCGGAGUCCGGCUCCCGUAGGAGUCCGGACGAAGUCUGUCUGCAGCCGUUGGAGUCGAGGACGAAGCCCGACUCCCGUAGGAGUCCGGGCGGAGUCUUCCUGCAAUCAAAGUUAAAGGCGAAGUCCGGCUCCCGUAGGAGUCCGGACGGGGCUUACCAGCAGUUGAUGUUGAGGACAGAGCCCGGCUCCCGUAGGAGUCCGGGCAGA